rnacentral:rRNA from 1 species
UACGUAGGGGGCAAGCGUUAUCCGGAUUUACUGGGUGUAAAGGGAGCGUAGACGGCGAUGCAAGCCAGAUGUGAAAGCCCGGGGCUCAACCCCGGGACUGCAUUUGGAACUGUAUAGCUAGAGUGUCGGAGAGGCAGGCGGAAUUCCUAGUGUAGCGGUGAAAUGCGUAGAUAUUAGGAGGAACACCAGUGGCGAAGGCGGCCUGCUGAACGAUGACUGACGUUGAGGCUCGAAAGCGUGGGGAGCAAACAGG